UGCUUGCUAUAAAGACAGAAGAAUUCUUCCCUUUUGGAGACGUUUUGCAGUUGGCGAAUUUUUCCACCUGUUCAUAAAUUUGGUACUGCUACGUGGAAGAGCAUGACACUGACUGCGCGUUACGAGAUAAGGAAGAUAAGAUCAUCGGCUGGUCGCCUACGUCAAUUGGACAAAGCAUGCAAAAGAAUCGAGCACUUUUUACGACUAUUUUACACAACAACACAGCUUCUCGACGAUAACCUAAGUGCCUAUUAAGCUAGAUUGCUCCCAGAACAAGGGGAAUCGAAGCACUUAAUACCCAAUACAGCACAGCACUUAAUACGAGAACAUCUUUAAUCAACUAUAUACAGAAUCGAUUUUACUUCUUAACUCUAUUGAUCACGUUUUUUAUAAUAUCUAACCGUAAAUGUACUCAUUUAAUGCUAUUUAAUAUUAAUUAUGUGUAACAUUUGAACGCGAGGUUUUAAUGAUUUACUGUAGCUUUUGAUAACGUAGGGGAAAAACUUUGUAAUGCUUUAGAUUGUAAUAAACCUCAUUUUCUGAAUAUACUUUGAUAUUAGAC